rnacentral:rRNA from 1 species
GAUGAACGCUAGCGGCAGGCCUAAUACAUGCAAGUCGAACGGUGUCUUCGGACAUAGUGGCGCACGGGUGCGUAACACGUAUGCAACCUACCUUACAUUGGGGGAUAGCCUUUCGAAAGGGAGGUUAAUACCGCAUAAGACAGUAGCUGGGCAUCCAGCAGCUGUUAAAGAUUUAUCGAUGUAAGCUGAGCAUGCGUCCAAUUAGCUAGUUGGUGAGGUAACGGCUCACCAAGGCAAUGAUUGGUAGGGGAACUGAGAGGUCAAUCCCCCACACUGGCACUGAGAUACGGGCCAGACUCCUACGGGAGGCAGCAGUAGGGAAUAUUGGGCAAUGGACGCAAGUCUGACCCAGCCAUGCCGCGUGCAGGAUGAAGGCGUUAUGCGUUGUAAACUGCUUUUAUACAGGAAGAAACGACUCUUGCGAGAGGCAUUGACGGUACUGUAUGAAUAAGCACCGGCUAACUCCGUGCCAGCCGCCGCCGUAAGAC